ACGGACGUAGCUCAAUGGUAGAGCACCUGCCUGAUAUGCAGGCGGUUGGAGGUUCGAGUCCUCCCGGCCGUACCA
rnacentral:tRNA from 1 species